UGAUCCACUCCUUCGCCUGUCUUCUUCGUUUUCCAAUACUACUGCUGCGUAGACCUCUACUUGAGGGUACUCUCGUGGUUUGAAACUCAACCUUGAACUCUCACACUUGCACUGACGCAAUCGAUGUCGGAACGUUGGAUGACGUAAACCGAGGAUGGAAAUAAAAUAUAAUUUAUGAUUUAAAAAAAAAAAAUAUUAAAAGUUUUUUUCACAACAACAUAUUGAUCAUAUUCAAAUAAAUUAAGUGAAACGAAACUGAAUAUGUUUCUUUUUAAAAUAAUAAAUACAAAUGACUAUCCACCCCAGUGAUCCACCCCAUGCACGUCAUCAGCCAGCUUCAGUGCAGUCAUCAAUAUUGAUGAAUGAAUGAAAUGCGAGCGAAAGUUGACUGGCAUCAUGGCGGCUUGGAGGUGUUGGAUUUGUUUUGUCUUUGUUGCGCUUAGUCUUAAAGUUUUAUUAAGCCAUAUCAAUGCAAGUCAUAGUCGCAGCCCGGAUUUUUGGGUUUACUGUGGUAUCGAUGGAUGUGAAAAGGACUUUAGAGUUUUCAACUCUUUUUUUCGCCACAUUAAACGGACACACCUCGAGUAUUACAGGACUGGACGUCCACCACGUUGGAGUACAACUGAUUCUUCUCACUCUUCGGAGCAGGAAACAUUUGGUGUGUCAGUUUUUGCCAAUUGUACCACUCUUGCAGCAGCGGGCACCGGCACAAAUGUUCCCAAUCCCGUCCCACCUGUUGCCGUCCCACCUGUUGCUCUUGAACCUGACGUUGUCGGUCCUUCUGAGGAUGCUGUUGCGGAGACAUCCAGAGCCGGACCUGAUAUGGCAAGAUCUGCGGCUGCAUUUGCCAUCAGCAUCCGAGAACAGGGCCAUUUGUCACAGAGAACUGUCAGGAGUGUCAUCUCAGGGGUGCAACAGUACCAAGCUGCUCUCCUUCUCACACUAAGGGACAGAGUCCAAAGGGUGUUUGAAGACCACCCAGAGACAACUGCUCAGCUCCAGAAUGAGGCAUUGGCUACAUUUGAUGCAUUCAUGGAUCCUUUCUCAACCACCGCAUAUGGACAGAAUAAAACCAUCCGGGAACUAUUCAAUCCAGUCAACCCAGAGGAAGUUGUAGUAUCCCAGAAGAUUUGCUGGGUAAAGCGUGGUCAUUCAAGG